rnacentral:rRNA from 1 species
UGGCGGACGGGUGAGUAACGCGUAAAGAACUUGCCCUUUAGACUGGGAUAACAGAGGGAAACUUCUGAUAAUACUGGAUAAGUUAGUAUAUCGCAUGAUAUGCAAAUGAAAGCUACGGCACUAAAGGAGAGCUUUGCGUCCUAUUAGCUAGUUGGUAAGGUAAGAGCUUACCAAGGCGAUGAUAGGUAGCCGGCCUGAGAGGGUGGACGGCCACAAGGGGACUGAGAUACGGCCCUUACUCCUACGGGAGGCAGCAGGU